AACACUUCCGUUAAUAGACGCGGUGAUGAACUGUAUGAAAAAGCAAACACGUGGUGAUUCGAAUUUAAUAUCUGAUACAGUCUCCAUAGGAGACUCAGAAUAUUAAACUGAUUUUUGAGACCUGGCGGGUGCACGGAGCUUGCUCCGACCCUGCCGCGGGUCGGCUCCGUAUUGCAGUAUCGUGGAGUUCGGCCCAGUGCAC